rnacentral:tRNA from 1 species
AUUUUAAUAGCUUAUGUAAAGUUUAAUAUUGAAGAUAUUAGGAAAAUUUUUUAAUUUUAAAAUG